GAUGAACGCUGGCGGCGUGCCUAAUACAUGCAAGUCGAACGAAUCUUCUUCGGAAGAUGAGUGGCGAACGGGUGAGUAAUACAUAGGUAACCUGCCCCUGUGCGGGGGAUAACAGGAGGAAACUCCUGCUAAUACCGCAUAGCCAUGAGCACCGCAUGGAGCUCAUGCCAAAUAUCCUUUCGGGGAUAGCGCAGGGAUGGACCUAUGGCGCAUUAGCUUGUUGGCGGGGCAACGGCCCACCAAGGCAACGAUGCGUAGCCGGCCUGAGAGGGCGGACGGCCACAUUGGGACUGAGACACGGCCCAGACUCCUACGGGAGGCAGCAGUAGGGAAUUUUCGGCAAUGGGGGAAACCCUGACCGAGCAACGCCGCGUGAGCGAAGAAGGCCUUCGGGUCGUAAAGCUCUGUUGUAAAGGAAGAACGGCGCAUACAGGAAAUGGUAUGCGAGUGACGGUAC
rnacentral:rRNA from 1 species